rnacentral:tRNA from 1 species
GCAGCAGCAGCAGCAGCCGAGGCAGCUGCAGCAAAGGCCCUCGGCCUU